rnacentral:rRNA from 1 species
GACAGAGGGUGCAAACGUUGCUCGGAUUUACUGGGCGUAAAGCGCAUGUAGGCUGGAAUCUAAGUCGGGUGUGAAAUCCCUGGGCUCAACCUAGGAACCGCAUCCGAAACUGGAUUCCUGGAGUGGUGGAGAGGAAAGCGGAAUUCCGGGUGUAGAGGUGAAAUUCGUAGAUAUCCGGAGGAACACCAGUGGCGAAGGCGGCUUUCCGGACACCAACUGACGCUGAGAUGCGAAAGCGUGGGGAGCAAACAGG